rnacentral:lncRNA from 1 species
AAUUUUGUUGCUUUUAUGAGAGUAGGUGAGCUCCAGUCCUAUUCUGCCAUCUUAAUCCCGUCUCCUGCUUAAAUGUGUCUUGAGAAUAUCUUUUUUUAAUGUGUAAAGUAUUUUGGAAUAAAAUGUCAUAAUGUGUGACACUUUGAAACAGAUCAACCAUAAUAAUAAAAAAUAAAAAAUAAUAUAAUAUAUAGAUUGAUAAAUCAGUAAAACUGACAAAAUAAUAACAGUUGAAUCUUAGUGGAUUUAUGGGUGUUCAUUGUACUAUUUUUUCUACUUUUGUAUAUGUUUGAAAUUUCAUAAUGUUUAAAAGAAAAAUAUUUAAGAAUUACUUUCUUUUUAGUGAAUUAUUCUUUUAUUAUUUUAUCUUUAUGUUGUUACUUUCUUUAUCCAUAAUAUUUCUUUCUUAGAAAUGUAUUUUGCUUGAUACUAUUAUAAUUAUCUCAUCAUCCUAAUAUUCUAUCUCAUAAUACUAGUGUACUUUCUUUUUGUUAAUAUUUGUCCAGAGGCUGCAGCUGCAGAGGAACCAUCCCAGGAGAGCUGCAAAAAUGCUAUUUGUGCAUGUGGCCUUUGGCUGUGGCUUUCCCCCUCUCUUGGCACCUAGGCCGGUGCUAGGCUGGUCUUCAAAAUGCUUUGGGAUCACCCUUCAUUGCCACAAGGAACCUCCAUGCCUCUAACACUUGUCUUUGGAAGACUGAUACUGCAGAAGUGUCCUUUGUUCUUGAAGAGUGUAAUCUUGGAGACACUACCUCUUUGACUGAAGAAACAGAUCUGCUGUCCACACUAGAGCUGUGAAGCAGGUACAGGUACCACAAAGCUGGAAUUGGCUCCUUGUGGUGAGGUUGCUGCUUUUGCCCAAUGUGGUUCUGACCUCCAUGCUUCCACUCAACUACUCUUGAGACGUGAAGUUCGCUGGCUGGGGAUCAAACCCUCACCAUAGCAGUGACCUGAGUUAUAGCAGUGACAACAAUGGAUCCUACACCUGCUGAGCCACAAGAGAAUUCCAGUAAGCAUCUUGAUAAACUGGAGCUGUGUUUUUUUUGCUGAAGUAUUUAAAAGCAAAUAUUAAAUGGCAUGCUGUUUUAUCUAACUGCUUUCAUGCUUUGAAAGACAAAUAAUUUUUUCUUACAUAACCACAAAACCAUUUAUUCACCUAACAAAUAUUUCCAAAGCUCUUAUUUCUCUGUCUCAAAAUUGUCUUUUUACAAUUAUUUUUUCAAAUCAGAAUCCAAAUAAGGUCCACACACUGAACUUAGUUCUUACAGUCUCUAAGAUCUCUUUUCAUGUGGAGAAGUGCUUCUUUUCCCCUCCCUCAUGCCAUUUAUUUCUUGAAGAAAGUGGGUCAGGAGUCCUGUAGAAUAUCUCAGUUGCAUCCUUGUGGUGGUUAAUUUGCUUCUCCAUCCUCUGUAUUUCCUGUUUUAUAGAAGUUAGAUCUAAAGACUUGAUUAUAUUCUGUGUUAAGUUUUUGACAAGACUACAUUGUAGGUGAUGUUAUAGACUUCAUAUUAUCACCUGGGGAACCAAGUGUCAGAUUUUCUCACUUUUAGCAAUGCUAAAAUUAUUUAGGUGGUGACACCCUGAUUUCUUCAUUGUAAAGUUUUCCAACAGUCUUUUAACUAAUGAUUUCAGUAUUUCUCAAUGACUGUUGUCUGAUUCAGUUUGAAAUAAUUAGGGAUUGAUUAUGUAUUUUGGAUAUGCUGGGUCAAAUAAGAUAAAUUAAAAUUUAAUUUUUUUUUUUUAUGGCUACACCUGUGGCAUAUGGAAGUUCCCAGGCAAGGAGUCAAAUUGGAGCUGCAGGUGAGGCCCCACAGCCAUGGCAAUGCCAGAUACUUGAUCCACUGAGCAAGGCCAGGCAUCGAACCCACAUCCUCAUGGACAGUAUGUCAGGUUCUUAACCUUUUGAGCCACAACAGGAACUCCUUUUCUUUAUUUAAAUAAAACUAUGAAGCGGGGAAAGGAACC